UACGGAGGGUGCAAGCGUUAUCCGGAUUCACUGGGUUUAAAGGGUGCGUAGGCGGGUUGGUAAGUCCGUGGUGAAAUCUCCGAGCUUAACUCGGAAACUGCCGUGGAUACUAUCAAUCUUGAAUAUCGUGGAGGUAAGCGGAAUAUGUCAUGUAGCGGUGAAAUGCUUAGAUAUGACAUAGAACACCAAUUGCGUAGGCAGCUUACUACACGAUCAUUGACGCUGAGGCACGAAAGCGUGGGGAGCAAACAGGA
rnacentral:rRNA from 1 species